CCACAGCUGUCUCCAACUCAGGCCAAAGUCAGGGCGAAUGGUGGAAAGUACGCUGAGCUGGGAUCCAUGGGCUUUGAAAGCAGGGCAAGACCCACAUGCUGAAAAUGGAAUGCUGGGCCUGGUGGAUGGUUUGGGAACUUUCCACUGCAGUGCCUGGGAAUGUGGAAUCUCCUGGGCCCUCACUGAGCCCAUCACUCUCACCAGCCUGCUAAGCAGCCCUCAGGCCGCCCUCCCUCCAGCCAGUGCCUGAAGACACAGAGGAAGAAAAAUAAAACCAGCCCUUGCUGGAAUGGGAGGCCGGCUCUGCUCCGGAGGAGCCGC
rnacentral:lncRNA from 1 species